rnacentral:rRNA from 1 species
AGCGAACGCUGGCGGCAGGCUUAACACAUGCAAGUCGAGCGGGCAUCCUUGUGGUGUCAGCGGCAGACGGGUGAGUAACGCGUGGGAACGUGCCCUUCGGUUCGGAAUAACUCAGGGAAACUUGAGCUAAUACCGGAUACGUGCGAGAGCAGAAAGGUUUAUCUGCCGAAGGAUCGGCCCGCGUCUGAUUAGCUAGUUGGUGAGGUUAUGGCUCACCAAGGCGACGAUCAGUAGCUGGUCUGAGAGGAUGAUCAGCCACACUGGGACUGAGACACGGCCCAGACUCCUACGGGAGGCAGCAGUGGGGAAUAUUGGACAAUGGGGGCAACCCUGAUCCAGCCAUGCCGCGUGAGAGAUGACGGCCUUAGGGUUGUAAAGCUCUUUUCUCCGGGACGAUAAUGACGGUACCGGAGGAAUAAGCCCCGGCUAACUUCGUG